UUGCUUGGUAAAAACGUCUUUUGUUUGAGGUGGAUUUAUCCUUUGCUCAGAGUCAUAAAAGCCCCUUCCAACUCACUUGCUCUUUGCCUUCUUAGCUACCCAGUAAGACUGGCUCAGCAAUUCUUUUCUUCUAUAUCAAAACCUGGUAUCAUUUCUAUUCCUUCUUCGGAGUCUACAUUCAAAGACCUCUCUGUUAUACACACAUAUCUGUGAGACCUUCCUGUGAAAUCCUUAUCCUUCUCAACAAAUAAUACCAUUAAUAGACUAAUACUAGCAAAAACAUGCGCAUACCUGUUGAAUGCCAGAUUGGACAGGGCUUUGACCAACCUGGUCUAGUGGAAGGUUCCCUGUCCAUGGCAGAGAGAUUGAAAGAAAAUAAUCUUUAAGGUCUCUUCCAGCCCAAACCAUGUAAUGACUCUCUGAUUCUGUGCACGUCUGUUAAGGUUCUUGAGCUCCCUUCUUAGAAAUACAAAGUUCAACCUGUGACCUAACACCACCUGGUCAACUAGACCAUGGCACUGCAGGGAUGAUGGCUCCACCACCUCCCUGUGCAGACCAUUCCAAUGGCCCAUCACUCUUUCUGUGAAGAAAUACUUCCUAAUGUCCAGCCUAACCCCCAACUCCAGUGCAGCUUAGGACUGCAUUGUCUUGUCCUGUUGCUGGUGCCUGGGACAAAGACACUGACCCCCAGAUGGCUCCACCCUCCUUUCAGGGAGUUGUGGAGAAUGACAAGGGCUCUCCUUAGCCUCCUUUUCUCCAGGCUAAACACCCUAAACUCCCUCAGCUGCUACUCAUAGCACAUGUGCUCCAGAUCCUUCACCAGCUCUGUUGCCCUUCCCUGGACACUCUCCAGCAUCUCAACAUCUUCCUUAAUUGAGGGGCCCGAAAAUGGGCACAGCACUCAAGGUAUGGACUUACCAGUGCUGAGAUCAGGGGAAGAAUGAACUCUCUGCUCCUGCUGGCCACACUAUUCCUGGCACAGACCAGGAUGCCAUUGUCCUUGGCCAUCUGGGGACACUGCUGGCUCUUAUUCAGUCUGGCACUGUCCCUUUCUGCUUGGGCACUGUCCAGCUACUCUGUCCCCAGCCUGUAAUGCUGCAGGGCGUUGUGGUGGGCAAAGUGCAGGACCUCACACUGGGACUUGUUAAACCUCCUGUCAUUGGGUUUGCCCAUCUAUCCAGCCUGAACAGGUCCCUCCCAGAGCUGUUCUACCUCCUGCAGAUCAGCACUUGCUCCUAUCUUGGUGUCAUCUGCACAUUUGCUGAUGGACUCAAUCCCCUGAUCCAGAACAUCAGUAAAGUUAUCGAACAGAACUGGGCCCAUCACUGAUUCCUGGGACACAACCAGUGACUGGACACCAACCAGAUGUGGUGCCAUUCACCACCACCACUCUCUUAACGCACAGAAGGGUGCACCUGUCAGUUGUGUAUCCAAGAUUAUAAAACUUCUUUCAUUUCACUUCACAAUUUAAGCAAGAACAUAAUUUACUUAUGUGGGGUAAGUGAAGGACCAGACCAUCAGACGCACCCGCAACUCACACACCCAACUAUCCAAGGAGAGAGAGAAGCCAUCAAGCAGCCCGGCACCGCCCAAGAUGCCAGCGAACCCAAAGGAGAAAGAAGCUCAACCAGGAUGGUUCGAGCCGUCGUUCAGUCGGUCCCCAUGGCUCACCACCCUAAUUUCUACCCUAAUAGGCCCACUCACCAUAAUCUUACUAACACUAAUCUUCAGGCCUUGCAUAUUAAACAAAUUGGUGUAGUUCGUUAAGAAGCGUUUAGAAAAAGUUAACAUUAUGUUUGUCAAACGCCAACAAUUACUUUGAGGCGUGCCUGUUACUAACAUGUUUACAAUUUUUAUACUAAUUCUACUAACCUUUGUAACCUUAUAACAUCCACAUUUUAUAUGUUUUUUACUAAUCAUGAAGAAGGGGGGAAAUGUGGAGAGUCAGGGACAUGCGUGCGGAAGAUAUCGGGCUGUACGGUUGGAGAGGGCCCCUUUCCCUCUGCAGUCGAAGCUGGGUGCCCCCUGCUCAGCAUCCAGCCAGACGUGAGCAGAAGGAAACGAUGCUGACUGCCCAAAUUAUAAAAACCCCUGUAACCCUUUAAUAAACGCCAUUUGCUGUCCACCA